AGAACGAACGCUGGCGGCAUGCCUAACACAUGCAAGUCGAACGGAUUGUAGCAAUACAAUCAGUGGCGAACGGGUGAAUAACGCGUGGGAACCUACCUCGGAGUUCGGAAUAACCGCGGGAAACUGCGGCUAAUACCGGAUACGGCCUGAGGGCGAAAGGAGCAAUUCGCUCCGGGAGGGGCCCGCGUCCGAUUAGCUAGUUGGUGGGGUAAUGGCCUACCAAGGCGAUGAUCGGUAGCUGGUCUGAGAGGAUGAUCAGCCACACUGGAACUGAGACACGGUCCAGACUCCUACGGGAGGCAGCAGUGGGGAAUAGUUGGACAAUGGGGGCAACCCUGAUCCAGCAAUGCCGCGUGGGUGAUGAAGGCCUUCGGGUUGUAAAGUCCCGUUUUGGCGGGGAAGAUAAGUGGUACGGUACCGCAGAAGAACGCCCCGGACUAACUCGUGCCAGCAGCCG
rnacentral:rRNA from 1 species